GCUCCUAUGUGCAAUAAAUCAGUAUAUGCAGCAUUGAUUGUGCAUAGUCAGUUGAUUUUGCUAUGGAAAUAACGUGCAAGUACGGUGCUUCAUAUAAAUUGAAAAUGGAUAAAAUGUGCAACUAUGAAACUUGUGAAUAUAAAUUUGAAGUAACCUGUAAAUGCGGUACUUCUUAUGAACUCAUGACAAAAAAAGAAUGCCGAUAAUAAUUUACAAGUACUCUGGAACUCAAUUUCGAACUUGUACUCGAGAUCCAAUGGAAUUUUCUCGAAUAUUAGAAGUUUUUAGUCGAGGAAAUUCUUUUGAAAUAUUACCAAAACUGACGAUGGAAUUUGCAAGGAUUGAGGUAGAUAGGCGGAAAUUUAGUAUGAAUUGAGAAGUAAUGGUAUUAUAGAAAUCUAAUAUUGACUAAUAUUGAAAGACAAUAAUUAAUUACUUAUUUUAACAAUAAGUAUGAAAAGCAUUGUUGUUCAGUACUCUUACAAUUAGUAUUUCAAAUAAGUACUAAUAAUUAAUUAUAUAUUAUAAUAAUUAAUUAUAUAUUACUGUACUUCAUAUCACUGUAAUAAAUUGGCUAGCAUAUACAUAUA